GGAAGGCAAAAUUAUGAGAGAAUUUUGGUUCGAAGCCCCUGAAGAAUGGAAGGAAGAGAAGAGUAUUGGUCAAUUUGAAAUAUUUUGUCUUUGGUGCCACUUUCUGGUCUUGUUCUUGGCUUCUAAUGCAGCAUCCCGAAGCAUACUAGAAUCUGAAGAGCUGAAGACAAAAUAAAGAUAUUAAAUUAAAUAGGCACUAACCACACUUUACGCACACUUUUGUUUCUAUUGGAAGUUUAACUUGAUAAUAAUUAAACAUAAAUGGCACGUUUGUCUGCUAGGUGUAGCGACCACGCUUAUUCUCUUCAAAUUAAAUGUAAAUAAGUUUUUAACUGUAAGUGUGUUUUAACAACCGUUGUUUUGUCGCUGUAUCUUCUUUUCGUUCAAAAUACUUCUAAAUUUUCGCUACCGUAAUCGAAAAGCCAAAUACAGUUAUUAUUAAUGAAUCGGCACGACCGCACGACUAAAACCAAGCAUACUGCACAAAUAAUGUUAAUAAAUAGUUGUUACCUUCCAUCAGUAAUAAGGACGAUUAUUUUAGAAGUGCAUGAGUUAUUGAAACGGGUGGAUCUUGGAAAAUCAACUCUGAUUGCUUUAAGAACAGCAUGAGCAGUAUAGUGAGAGUACUGCAUUACACCGACUUGGAAAGAAGUAAGAUCUAUACCAGUAAUAAAAUCCUUGACAAAAUUUGCGGCUAAU